rnacentral:rRNA from 1 species
UACGGGGGGGCGAGCAGCUGUUCGGUCGGAAUUACUGGGCGUAAAGAGCUCGUAGGCGGCUUGUCGCGUCGACUGUGAAAUCCCGCGGCUCAACUGCGGGUCUGCAGUCGAUACGGGCAGGCUAGAGUUCGGUAGGGGAGACUGGAAUUCCUGGUGUAGCGGUGAAAUGCGCAGAUAUCAGGAGGAACACCGAUGGCGAAGGCAGGUCUCUGGGCCGAUACUGACGCUGAGGAGCGAAAGCGUGGGGAGCAAACAGG